AUCGCUGGCAAGCCAGCUCCCACAGUAUUUGUGUUGUACCCGGAGUGUGUGAACGCCGCGAAACCUGUGGGAGCUGGCUUGCCAGCGAU
rnacentral:antisense_RNA from 1 species